GAGUUUUCUGAGAACAUCUCAGAUCUAAAACUCCUCCUUCUACUUUCCAUCUUUGGAAGAGUCCAAAUCAAGAAGAAGGAGGCACCUGAUCAACCAUCAAAGAAGGAUCAGCGCAGUACUAGCAUACUGUGCUGAUUUCCUGAAGCAGGACUUCUGAUCGAGAUUCAUGGGCUCGUGUGGAUGACUCCUAGAGGUCGGAUGUGUGUGUGUCUUGCAGCAUCAUCCUCAAGCCUGGAUCAGUGAGGUUAGAACGUCUAACUUGCAAGGUAAUAGAUCUGAUCUAUUGUUUAAUACAUACAUUAGAUGUAGUAUAGAAACAUGUUGAUAUGAUCAACAUGUAGUUCAUGCUAUAUUUAUAUAUUUUAAUUUUUGAUUUAAUGC
rnacentral:lncRNA from 1 species